rnacentral:rRNA from 1 species
GACAGAGGGUGCAAACGUUGUUCGGAAUUACUGGGCGUAAAGCGCGUGUAGGCGGCUUUGCAAGUGGCGGGUGAAAUCCCUCGGCUUAACCGAGGAACUGCCUGCCAGACUGUGAGGCUUGAGACCGGGAGAGGUGAGUGGAAUUCCCAGUGUAGCGGUGAAAUGCGUAGAUAUUGGGAGGAACACCAGUGGCGAAGGCGGCUCACUGGACCGGAACUGACGCUGAGGCGCGAAAGCGUGGGGAGCAAACAGG